AGGAUGGCGACCGGCGCACGGGUGAGUAACACGUAUCCAACCUGCCGAUAACUCGGGGAUAGCCUUUCGAAAGAAAGAUUAAUACCCGAUGGUAUAAUCAGACCGCAUGGUUUGAUUAUUAAAGAAUUUCGGUUAUCGAUGGGGAUGCGUUCCAUUAGGCAGUUGGUGAGGUAACGGCUCACCAAACCUUCGAUGGAUAGGGGUUCUGAGAGGAAGGUCCCCCACAUUGGAACUGAGACACGGUCCAA
rnacentral:rRNA from 1 species